rnacentral:rRNA from 1 species
UGGCUCAGAUUGAACGCUGGCGGCAUGCCUUACACAUGCAAGUCGAACGGUAACAGGUCUUCGGAUGCUGACGAGUGGCGAACGGGUGAGUAAUACAUCGGAACGUGCCCGAUCGUGGGGGAUAACGAGGCGAAAGCUUUGCUAAUACCGCAUACGAUCUACGGAUGAAAGCGGGGGAUCUUCGGACCUCGCGCGGACGGAGCGGCCGAUGGCAGAUUAGGUAGUUGGUGGGAUAAAAGCUUACCAAGCCGACGAUCUGUAGCUGGUCUGAGAGGAUGAUCAGCCACACUGGGACUGAGACACGGCCCAGACUCCUACGGGAGGCAGCAGUGGGGAAUUUUGGACAAUGGGCGAAAGCCUGAUCCAGCCAUGCCGCGUGCAGGAUGAAGGCCUUCGGGUUGUAAACUGCUUUUGUACGGAACGAAAAGCCUCUUUCUAAUAAAGAGGGGUC